CCCAAUCACUUUUUAUUGCUGCACAACUUUGCAGAUCUGCUGGAUUGAUGCAUUUUGCUAUCUAUCUUUCACAAGUCAAUUUUGAGUCAUUAGAAGGGGUGAGAUCAUCGCUCACUUUUUUGUUCUGUAUAGUCUGUUUCUCGAAUUUUGUGGUAAUUUUUAUUUAUGCCCAAGUCCCUUUUAUGAUAGCAAAGAGACAGUGCAAUUUGUUUUUUGUUUGCUUUCAGGAAGUAGCUCACAGGAGAAGAAGCCAGUUGUCAUUUGUUCUGGAUCAUGAGUAGCUGCCUAGUAAUAUACUCCCUUUGUAAAGAAAUAUAUUUCUAUACAGAGGCAGUACCUAAUUUUGGUGGUUGUUUUAUGUGCUAAACUUUUCUUCUAUAUUUGUCAAAAGAAAUCUUUAUAAUGUUAUAAAGCGGUUCACUGCUCCUAAAAUUAACCUGUUAGUUCACCCCUUAAACCGCACUGAUCAGGGCUGCACUAAUGUAAUGCUACAUUUUGUUUUCUAGAAUCGAAUUCUGUUAUUUAAAUGGGUCAAGUAGGGAGAAUUAUCAUGUUGGAGUUUAAUUAUACUGUUAUUUUCCUUGCUCAUAUAACUGAAUAACUGAUCACAAAGAGCUUUGCGUGUGAUGGCUAAAAUUUACCAGCCAGUGUCUGCUUUUCAUAGGUCUGAACACUGAACGUUGGCAAGAGGAGGUUCCUGUGAUGAACAUGCGAGACUUUGAUCCUACUUUAGCGAAAAGCGACUGGUGCCGCCAUUUCGGUAUAAGUGAUUCGAUUUGGUUGAUUCAUGGUCAGCUUUUCCCCAAACUGCUGCUCCUUUUCCUUGAACCGAUGCCUCUUAAGUUCGGGGUGAUCAUCAUGUUCGGAUUCCAGAAGGUCACCCCAUCAUUGUGCAACCAAAACGAUGACCGCUGUCGGAGAUCAUAUUGAGAAUCCUGCCUCGUUCAUCUUCUCCAUCGUGAGUAAAAUAAUCAGUUUAUACACUGCCAAUUGCCGCGGCAGCUAGUGGAGUGAUCAAUGAUAAGGAAGGUGAUUAGCCUAGCGCCAAAGAACAAAAAGAAGUUGCAAAAGAUGACAAGCACAAGGGCUCAUUCUAACGCACCCUAUAGAACUCUCUUUUUGUCUCUGCCCAACAAGCUGCCCACAUCUCCACAGCACUUUUCCAGUUCGAGAAAAGGGCAAAGAGCUGCUUUCCUUUUCCGAUGUAGAUU